GCAGUCUCCAGGAGGGGCUUGAACUCACUUGAACUGAACUCACUUGAACUCCAGGAGGGGACUUGAACUGACACAGGGCUUGAACUCAUGGACCGUGAGAUCAUGACCUGGCAGAAGUCGGACGCUUCACCGACCAAACCACCCAGGCGCCCCUAAAGUUGCAGGCACACACAGCCUUCUCGAACUCGGGAACACCAGACAGCCCUUCAGCAUCGUGUGUGGAGCCAUUUUAGGUAGCAAUAUCAGCAACAAAAAGCACAAAAAUGUGAAAUCCAUCCAUGAAUCAGCCACAAGAAGAACAGCUGUUUACAACAGAGGAGUUGAAACAAGAAGGAAGUGAAGGCAUCACACAAAGAACAAGCAAGCAAACAAACAAACAAAAACGGCAGGAAAAUCAAGCAAAGACCUUCCACUCUGUUGAGACGUUGGUGCCUGCUGGAGGUUCGCGGUCCCGUGUAAAAAGGGGAAAGAUAGUAUCACAGGAUCCCAAGGCACUAAGAGGGCGACUGCUACUUGUCGCUGACUUAAGGGAUGGGAAGGAACGGAAAGGGAGCGGUUUCUCUCCAGGACGUGCACGGCCACUUGGGGAUGGAAAAUGUUCCCUCCUCCGCCGACCUGGGGGCAAGGUCCUCUUCUCUGCUCCGCCCCCGCCCUG